GCUCUAAUAGCUUACCCAUUAAAGCAUUGUUCUUG
rnacentral:tRNA from 1 species